GAAAUGCGAUAAGUAAUGUGAAUUGCAGAAUUCAGUGAAUCAUCGAAUCUUUGAACGCACAUUGCGCCCGCCAGUAUUCUGACGGGCAUGCCUGUUCGAGCGUCAUUUCAACCAUCAAGCCCCCGGCUUGUGUUGGGGACCUGCGGCUGCCCGCAGGCCCUGAAAAACAGUGGCGGGCUCGCUGUCACACCGAGCGUAGUAGCAUACAUUCUCGCUCAGGGCGUGCUGCGGGUUCCGGCCGUUAAACGACCUUCAUAACCCAAGGUUGACCUCGGAUCAGGUAGGAAGACCCGCUGAACUUAAGC
rnacentral:misc_RNA from 1 species